rnacentral:rRNA from 1 species
CCUACGGGAGGCAGCAGUAGGGAAUAUUGCUCAAUGGGGGAAACCCUGAAGCAGCAACGCCGCGUGGAGGAUGAAGGUUUUAGGAUUGUAAACUCCUUUUGUUAGAGAAGAUUAUGACGGUAUCUAACGAAUAAGCACCGGCUAACUCCGUGCCAGCAGCCGCUGUCAUACGGAGGGUGCAAGGGUUACUCGGAAGGAAUGGGCGGAAAGAGUUCGUAGGAGAGGUAAUAAGUCAGAUGUGAAAGCCUGUAGCUUAAAUACAGGACUGCAUUGGAAACUGUUACUCUGGAGUGUGAGAGAGGUAGGUGGAAUGCUUGGUGUAGGGGUAAAAUCCGUAGAGAUAAAGAGGAAUACUCAUUGCGAAGGCGACCUGCUGGAACAUUACUGACGCUGAUGCACGAAAGCGUGGGGAGCAAACAGGAUUAGAUACCCCUGUAGUC